GCGAAGGCAGCUUUCUGGAUCAUUACUGACACUGAGGAACGAAAGCAUGGGUAGCGAAGAGGAUUAGAUACCCUCGUAGUCCAUGCCGUAAACGAUGUGUGUUAGACGUUGGAAAUUUAUUUUCAGUGUCGCAGGGAAACCGAUAAACACACCGCCUGGGGAGUACGACCGCAAGGUUAAAACUCAAAUGAAUUGACGGGGACCCGCACAAGUAGUGGAGCAUGUGGUUUAAUUCGAAGAUACGCGCAGAACCUUACCAACACUUGACAUGUUCGUCGCGACUCUAAGAGAUUAGAGUUUUCGGUUCGGCCGGACGAAACACAGGUGCUGCAUGGCUGUCGUCAGCUCGUGUCGUGAGAUGUUGGGUUAAGUCCCGCAACGAGCGCAACCCUCGCUUUUAGUUGCCAUCAUUAAGUUGGGCACUCUGAAAGAACUGCCAGUGAUAAGCUGGAGGAAGGUGGGGAUGACGUCAAGUCCUCAUGGCCCUUACGUGUUGGGCUACACACGUGCUACAAUGGCAUCUACAACAGGAAGCAAAACGGCAACGUUAAGCAAAUCCCGAAAAGAUGCCUCAGUUCGGAUUGCACUCUGCAACUCGAGUGCAUGAAGCUGGAAUUACUAGUAAUCGUGGAUCAGCGUGCCACGGUGAAUGCGUUCCCGGGUCUUGUACACACCGCCCGUCACACCAUGGGAGUUGGUUCUACCUUAAGGCAAGGUUUCAGACCCUUGACCACGGUAUAGUCAGCGACUGGGGUGAAGUCGUAACAAGGUAACCGUA
rnacentral:rRNA from 1 species